AAUGAACGCUGGCGGCGCGCCUAAUACAUGCAAGUCGAGCGAGAAGACGUAGCAAUACGUUUGUAAAGCGGCGAACGGGUGAGGAAUACAUGGGUAACCUACCCUUGAGUGGGGAAUAACUAGCCGAAAGGUUAGCUAAUACCGCGUACGCUUCCUGGACUUCGGUUCAGGGAGGAAAGCGAUGCCGAGGGUAUCGCGCUCUUGGAUGGGCUCAUGUCCUAUCAGCUUGUUGGGAGGUAACGGCUCACCAAGGCUUCGACGGGUAGCUGGUCUGAGAGGACGAUCAGCCACACUGGCACUGCGACACGGGCCAGA
rnacentral:rRNA from 1 species